UACGGGGGGGGCAAGCGUUGUUCGGAAUUACUGGGCGUAAAGGGCGCGUAGGCGGCCGACUAAGUCGGGUGUGAAAGCCCAGGGCUCAACCCUGGAAGUGCACUCGAAACUGACCGGCUUGAAUAUGGAAGAGGGUCGCGGAAUUCCCGGUGUAGAGGUGAAAUUCGUAGAUAUCGGGAGGAACACCAGUGGCGAAGGCGGCGACCUGGGCCAAUAUUGACGCUGAGGUGCGAAAGCGUGGGGAGCAAACAGG
rnacentral:rRNA from 1 species